UACAGAGGGUGCAAGCGUUAAUCGGAUUUACUGGGCGUAAAGCGCGCGUAGGUGGCCAAUUAAGUCAAAUGUGAAAUCCCCGAGCUUAACUUGGGAAUUGCAUUCGAUACUGGUUGGCUAGAGUAUGGGAGAGGAUGGUAGAAUUCCAGGUGUAGCGGUGAAAUGCGUAGAGAUCUGGAGGAAUACCGAUGGCGAAGGCAGCCAUCUGGCAUAAUACUGACACUGAGGUGCGAAAGCAUGGGGAGCAAACAGG
rnacentral:rRNA from 1 species